rnacentral:rRNA from 1 species
AGAGUUUGAUCAUGGCUCAGAACGAACACUGGCGGCGUGGUUUAGGCAUGCAAGUCGAACGUGAAAGUUCCUUCGGGAAUGAGUAAAGUGGCGAACGGGUGAGUAACGCGUGGGAAACCUUCCCUUCGUUGGGGGAUAACAGUUCUAACGAGCUGCUAAUACCGCAUACGACCUUUGGAUCGCAUGGUCUGAAGGUGAAAGGGGGCGAUCUCUUCGGAGAGCUCCCGACGAUGGAUGGUCCCGCGUCCCAUUAGCUAGUUGGCGGGGUAAUGGCCCACCAAGGCGACGAUGGGUAGCCGGCCUGAGAGGGUGUCCGGCCACACUGGGACUGAGAUACGGCCCAGACUCCUACGGGAGGCAGCAGUCGAGAAGCUUCGGCAAUGGGCGAAAGCCUGACCGAGCGACGCCGCGUGAGCGAAGAAGGCCCUAUGGGUUGUAAAGCUCUGUCAGAUUGGGAAGAAAACCUCGCGGUUAAUACCCGCGAGGCCUGACGGUACCAU